rnacentral:rRNA from 1 species
CCUACGGGUGGCAGCAGUGGGGAAUAUUGCACAAUGGGGGAAACCCUGAUGCAGCGACGCCGCGUGAGUGAAGAAGUAAUUCGUUAUGUAAAGCUCUAUCAGCAGGGAAGAAAAUGACGGUACCUGAGUAAGAAGCCCCGGCUAACUACGUGCCAGCAGCCGCGGUAAUACGUAGGGGGCACGCGUUAUCCGGAUUGACGGGGUGGAAAGGGAGCGUAGACGGCAGUGCAAGUCUGGAGGGAAAGGCGGGGGCUCAACCCCCGGACUGCUCUGGAAACUGUACGGCUGGAGUGCAGGAGAGGUAAGUGGAAUGCCUAGUGUAGCGGUGAAAUGCGUAGAUAUUAGGAGGAACACCAGUGGCGAAGGCGGCUUACUGGACUGUAACUGACGUUGAGGCUCGAAAGCGUGGGGAGCAAACAGGAUUAGAUACCCGAGUAGUC